AUUUAGCCCCGAUGGAAACGAUAUCCUUUUUCUGGCUUCUUUAGCCGGGAAAAGAUAUAGUGGACAGCGGGACAAGUA
rnacentral:sRNA from 1 species